rnacentral:lncRNA from 1 species
GAUGAGCGUUUUCUAUGACAGGGAUGACUAUGGUUAUCUCUCCUUCUCAUAUUAGGCCAUGUUUUUAAGAGACAUAGAAGUGUCUCUCAAAAUAUGUAGAUCAUCAUAUCGAGGUAGCCAUUGGUGCUGCAAUGUCGACAAUGGCAUACAAUGCUAUUGAUUCAUGGAAGGUGUCUGUAACACGUGGAAAGGAAGAGAAUAUGGGCAGAG